UGUGGUAAUGAUUUUGAGGUGUUCUUCCAAAGACUCGAAAUUGCUUCAGGCAGAGCACGAUAUACUAAAGAUUGGAUGCACUGUUUUCUGCAGUAUAGAAUUUUACAGAAAUUGCUUCUAAGUUCAGCAAGAGACUUCAAGAUUUAGACAAAAGCAACCUAAUAUUAUUGAGGAUUAUGAAUGAUCAGCUGAUGUUUCUGGAUCAGGC